rnacentral:rRNA from 1 species
GAAUAUUGCACAAUGGGCGAAAGCCUGAUGCAACGACGCCGCGUGCAGGAUGAAGGCCUUCGGGUUGUAAACCCCUUUCAGGAAGGACGAACGAAAGUGACGGUACCUCCAGAAGAAGCCCCGGCCAACUACGUGCCAGCAGCCGCGGUAAUACGUAGGGGGCGAGCGUUGUCCGGAUUUAUUGGGCGUAAAGAGCUCGUAGGCGGCUCAGCAAGUCGGCCGUGAAAACCUGAGGCUCAACCUCAGGACGCCGGUCGAAACUGCUGUGGCUAGGGUUCGGUAGAGGAGAGUGGAAUUCCCGGUGUAGCGGUGAAAUGCGCAGAUAUCGGGAGGAACACCAGUAGCGAAGGCGGCUCUCUGGGCCGAUACCGACGCUGAGGAGCGAAAGCUAGGGGAGCAAACAGGAUUAGAUACCCUGGUAGUCCUAGCCGUAAACGUUGGGAACUAGGUGUGGCGGAUUCAUUGACAUCUGCCGUGCCGAAGCUAACGCAUUAAGUUCCCCGCCUGGGGAGUACGGUCGCAAGGCUAAAACUCAAAGGAAUUGAC